UACAGAGACUGCAAGCGUUAUUCGGAUUCAUUGGGCGUAAAGGGCGCGUAGGUGGUUCUGUAUGUCUACCGUGAAAGCGUACGGCUCAACCGUAUUUUGUCGGUGGAAACUGCAGGACUUGAGGCUGGGAGGGGCUGGUGGAAUUCCCUGUGUAGCGGUGAAAUGCGUAGAGAUGGGGGAGAACACUCGUGGCGAAGGCGGCCAGCUAGACCAGUUCUGACACUGAGGCGCGACAGCGUGGGGAGCAAACAGG
rnacentral:rRNA from 1 species